AUUGCAUGUUCUUCAAGCGGAGUCAUCGAUGUGUUCUUGUAUAAUGCUAAGAACAAUCUUUGACUUUGGUUUGAAGAAAUAUAUGCAGU
rfam:Haemonchus contortus, ISE/inbred ISE, WGS project CAVP01000000 data, contig: Hcontortus_30001